AUUAUGAGGCAUGAGAAUGAAAGAUCCCGCAGUUUAUGGGCUGAGUCACAGUAGAUGAUUUGUAGGAUUAAGAUUAAUCAGUGGCCUCUGAUUAGAGUCUUAGUUAAAUGAAUCUGCUCCCUCCAUGGGUCUUCGGUAUUUAGAGACUUGGUCCAGGUUAUCCUGUUAACCCGCUUUAUUAGAGAAUCUUAUUGCUUUUUUUAUGGGAUUGUGAGAGCCCAAAGGUUUUUACUUUCAGCUGCUGCUGCUAUUUUGCCCCUAAAAAUAGAGAGUAAGCCAUAUUUUUUUUCUUUGGAAGAAAAUGUUUUCUUUAAACUGUCAUAGAAAAGGAGACUUUUCAAGCACAUAGAAGUUAUCUCAACUUUGGACUUGUGAAGAGAGCUGUCUGCAUACACCGCAUCUGGAAUGAAUAGGCACGAUUCCUUCCCUCUGAGGGGUCUGCGGUGUCCCAGUCAGUGCAGAGGAGUUCAGGACACCGGUUCGAUGCCUCUGAAGGAACAGCCAUCAUCAUCCCUGGAAACAUAGAUUGUUGACUUUCCAUUAAGCUAGACUCAUAUAAUAUACCUUGGAUAUGUUCAAGAAAGCCCUGUAAAUUAUGGAAUCUCUCCUUGAGCAAAGACCUUGAUCAAUUCAGAGGCUGUGUGAAGCAGAUAACUCUAAAGGAAUUCAAGUCGCCACCAUAAAUCUUGAGUGAUUUUAGAAAGAUAUAUAAUACUCCUAAAUGAUGACAUAUUUCCAGAAGAUCAGUAAAACGUUUCUGAGUGAUAAAUGGUUGGACAGUUGUGUCUCUGCAGCGAACCUAAGGGGCAACAUCAAGCAAACACAGUAUUUUAUGAGUAAUAUUGGUCAUAUCUUUUGUUUUUAAUCUGCCAAAAAUGCAACUAAAGAGGCUGGCCACACAGAAAAUUGGUCUACUUUAUACCACGUCUGGCUGGGAAAAGCUCUGGGAUUUUUGAUUUGCCAUCAGAACAAAAGGAAAAACAAAACGUACACACACAGAGCCAUGAAAUACCCAAAGCGGCAGGUCAUUUUCUGUCAAUCCCCAGAGACCUUCGUCUGUGAGUGCUGGUGUGGGGAGGAGGCGGCAGGAGACUGCUGCAGCUGUUAACAAAAGUCAGCAACGAUGGAAACACCAUUCUGAUAGUGGAAUACUACUCAUCAAUAAAAAAAAUAUAAACUCCUGAUACACCUCAUGGAUGGAUGCAUAGAUGGAUGGAUGGAUCUGAAAAACAUCGUGCUGAAUAAAAGAAGCCAGACAUGAAA
ensembl:lncRNA novel transcript